rnacentral:tRNA from 1 species
GCCUGGGUGGCUCAGUCGGUUAAGCAUCCGACUUCAGCUCAGGUCAUGAUCUCACUGUUUGUGGGUUCGAGCCCCGCAUCGGGCU